GGCGAAUGUGAUUGCCGCCAUUUUGUUAAGUUGCCAUGUUCUUUCAUUUUCUUUUGUCGAAGGAGAAUGACGUAUUUUCUACGCCACCAACUCGAUAUACAAACAAGAUGGAUCUUCUGGCCAAAACCGCGGAAAUCGUCAAAAUCGAUAAUGACACAAAGGCCCAGGGACAAUCGCUUGGACGGAUCGGAGCUAUAAUUAAAAAGACAAAUGUUCCAGAUCGUUCCAUUACUGAAAGGAAAGGAAUAGGAUAAGGAAGGAUAUAAACAUUUAAAUGUAGGCAGUAUAAUUGAAGAAGAUUCCCGGAAGCUGGUAGAAAGAUAAUAACAAUUUAAAAAAAAAUCUCCAGAUGGUUCCAUUGCUAUUUUAGUGACUGUAGUUAGUUCAUAAAAUUUGAUCAUAUAUGGUAAGGAGGAAUGAUAGAAAAAAGGAUAAUGAAUAGGAAUGAUAUGAACAUUCAUAUAAAUCAAAUAAAGAAUAGAUAAUAUGUAUAAGCAGUUCAUUUAUAAAUGAUCCAGGAACUCGCAAAAAUCGCUUCUGCACCACUAAUUGCCUCCACUGCUGGCACUGAACCCGCAACCUUUGGAGUGUUAACAUUCACACAA